rnacentral:piRNA from 1 species
UACAACUCUCAUGGGCGACGGCUUCGA